rnacentral:rRNA from 1 species
AUUGAACGCUGGCGGCAGGCCUAACACAUGCAAGUCGAGCGGAAACGAGUUAUCUGAACCUUCGGGGRACGAUAACGGCGUCGAGCGGCGGACGGGUGAGUAAUGCCUAGGAAAUUGCCCUGAUGUGGGGGAUAACCAUUGGAAACGAUGGCUAAUACCGCAUGAUGCCUACGGGCCAAAGAGGGGGACCUUCGGGCCUCUCGCGUCAGGAUAUGCCUAGGUGGGAUUAGCUAGUUGGUGAGGUAAGGGCUCACCAAGGCGACGAUCCCUAGCUGGUCUGAGAGGAUGAUCAGCCACACUGGAACUGAGACACGGUCCAGACUCCUACGGGAGGCAGCAGUGGGGAAUAUUGCACAAUGGGCGCAAGCCUGAUGCAGCCAUGCCGCGUGUGUGAAGAAGGCCUUCGGGUUGUAAAGCACUUUCAGUCGUGAGGAAGGUGGUGUAGUUAAUAGCUGCAUUAUUUGACGUUAGCGACAGAAGAAGCACCGGCUAACUCCGUGCCAGCAGCCGCGGUAAUACGGAGGGUGCGAGCGUUAAUCGGAAUUACUGGGCGUAAAGCGCAUGCAGGUGGUUUGUUAAGUCAGAUGUGAAAGCCCGGGGCUCAACCUCGGAAUAGCAUUUGAAACUGGCAGACUAGAGUACUGUAGAGGGGGGUAGAAUUUCAGGUGUAGCGGUGAAAUGCGUAGAGAUCUGAAGGAAUACCGGUGGCGAAGGCGGCCCCCUGGACAGAUACUGACACUCAGAUGCGAAAGCGUGGGGAGCAAACAGGAUUAGAUACCCUGGUAGUCCACGCCGUAAACGAUGUCUACUUGGAGGUUGUGGCCUUGAGCCGUGGCUUUCGGAGCUAACGCGUUAAGUAGACCGCCUGGGGAGUACGGUCGCAAGAUUAAAACUCAAAUGAAUUGACGGGGGCCCGCACAAGCGGUGGAGCAUGUGGUUUAAUUCGAUGCAACGCGAAGAACCUUACCUACUCUUGACAUCCAGAGAACUUUCCAGAGAUGGAUUGGUGCCUUCGGGAACUCUGAGACAGGUGCUGCAUGGCUGUCGUCAGCUCGUGUUGUGAAAUGUUGGGUUAAGUCCCGCAACGAGCGCAACCCUUAUCCUUGUUUGCCAGCGAGUAAUGUCGGGAACUCCAGGGAGACUGCCGGUGAUAAACCGGAGGAAGGUGGGGACGACGUCAAGUCAUCAUGGCCCUUACGAGUAGGGCUACACACGUGCUACAAUGGCGCAUACAGAGGGCGGCCAACUUGCGAAAGUGAGCGAAUCCCAAAAAGUGCGUCGUAGUCCGGAUUGGAGUCUGCAACUCGACUCCAUGAAGUCGGAAUCGCUAGUAAUCGUGGAUCAGAAUGCCACGGUGAAUACGUUCCCGGGCCUUGUACACACCGCCCGUCACACCAUGGGAGUGGGCUGCAAAAGAAGUAGGUAGUUUAACCUUCGGGGGGACGCUUACCACUUUGUGGUUCAUGACUGGGGUG